rnacentral:tRNA from 1 species
GCGGCCAUAGAUUAGCUGGGAGAUCGUCAGACUGAAGUUGAACUUCAUUUCUACGAAUGCCUAUCUGAAGGUCGUGUGUUCGAGUCACACUGGCCGCA